rnacentral:rRNA from 1 species
UACGGGGGGGCAAGCGUUGUUCGGAAUUACUGGGCGUAAAGGGCUCGUAGGCGGCCAACUAAGUCAGACGUGAAAUCCCUCGGCUUAACCGGGGAACUGCGUCUGAUACUGGAUGGCUUGAGUUUGGGAGAGGUGAGUGGAAUUCCUGGUGUAGCGGUGAAAUGCGUAGAUAUCUGGAGGAACACCGGUGGCGAAGGCGGCAUCCUGGACCAAUUCUGACGCUGAGGAGCGAAAGCCAGGGGAGCAAACGGG